AGAUCCGAGUCACUGUGAUUGGACCAUAUUCAAGAGGAGAGCAACUAGAUUCCACCUAUGGAUGGGAGGUAUUCUGGACUGAAAUUUUGUGUCUUCCCCAAAAUUCAUAUGAACUCCAGCAUCGGCUAGCAUAUGAGGUUUGCGAUGGGAGUAUGACUGAGUCGACGUCACCCUAUUAUACAAUUGCCAGUGGGACUUCAAACAUUUCCUGUGUUGGGGACGUGAAUUUUCAACCUGGACAAAGGAUUCUCCUCCAUUAUCGUCAUCAUUGCAAGAUAUUGAGUAUAGUUCCCCGUGCUCUACAGUAGGUACUUGUUGUUUAUCUAUUUUAUAUAUGGUCGUGUGUAUAUGUUAAUCCCAAACCCCUAAUUUAUCCCCCCCUCACCUUUCCCCUUUGGUAACCAUACAUUUUUCUUUGAUGUUUGUGCAUCUGUUUCUGUUCUGUAAAUAAGUUCAUUUGUAUCAUUUUUUUUUAGA